rnacentral:rRNA from 1 species
AGAACGAACGCUGGCGGCAGGCCUAACACAUGCAAGUCGAACGCCGUAGCAAUACGGAGUGGCAGACGGGUGAGUAACGCGUGGGAACAUACCCUUCGGUUCGGAAUAACUCAGGGAAACUUGAGCUAAUACCGGAUACGUCCGAGGUUUUAAUCGACCUUGGAGAAAGAUUUAUCGCCGGAGGAUUGGCCCGCGUCUGAUUAGCUUGUUGGUGAGGUAAUGGCUCACCAAGGCGACGAUCAGUAGCUGGUCUGAGAGGAUGAUCAGCCACAUUGGGACUGAGACACGGCCCAAACUCCUACGGGAGGCAGCAGUGGGGAAUAUUGGACAAUGGGCGAAAGCCUGAUCCAGCCAUGCCGCGUGAGUGAUGAAGGCCUUAGGGUUGUAAAGCUCUUUUACCCGGGAAGAUAAUGACGGUACCGGGAGAAUAAGCCCGGCUAACUUCGUGCCAGCAGCCGC